GGAUGAACCAAAACACCACAGUCUCUCCAGAUUUUGACUAUUUUCACCAUCUGGACCUGGCAACCCUAUCCAUCAACAACAAAAAAAGUAAAAGCACCAAAAGCACUCUGGACAUUCUGAAGAGAUGAAAAUGAGGUCAUUCUCAUGAGCAGCCCUACUCAGGGAAAUUUCAAGGUAAUUUUUGUCAACAUGCUCCACAAGCAAUGGAUUUUCAAGAGCCUUAAGCUGAGGAAGCUUCUUCCUGCACCACUCUCUGAAGAAGAAAUAACAAUUCACCGUCUCACUCGAGAGGCUGCAGACAACUAUAAAAACUAUAAAUAUUUUCAAAUGGAGCAUUUAAAAGAUUAGAAACUCCACCAUGGAGAAAUUGGGUGUCUCUCUCUCUCCCUCCCUCCCUCCCCCCACUUUUAUUAUGGAGUAGCACACACACACAAAUUAAACAAAGGAACAGCGGUGGAAACCAGAAAUGAAGUGAGAAACCUAUAGUUACUAAAUCUGAAGAACUGCUGAGCUAAGGAUUAAGUAAUGAAGUGUGGUUAAAACAAGAACAAGCCAAACAUUCAUAGCAAGUAGUGGGAGUGUAACAAUAAAUGUUAAAGCAUUGCAGAGCUUAAUUAACAAGUCGGUUCCAUUGCUCCAAGGUGGGGGGAGCGGAUACAGUGGAACCAAGAUGCCAUCUUGAAAGGACCCCUU